CCUACGGGAGGCAGCAGUGGGGAAUCUUGCGCAAUGGGCGAAAGCCUGACGCAGCAACGCCGCGUGCGGGAAGAAGGCUUUCGGGCUGUAAACCGCUUUCAGCAGGAACGAAAAUGACGGUACCUGCAGAAGAAGGAGCGGCCAACUAUGUGCCAGCAGCCGCGGUGAUACAUAGGCUUCAAGCGUUGUCCGGAUUUAUUGGGCGUAAAGAGUUCGUAGGCGGUCGAGUAAGUCGGGUGUGAAAAUUCUGGGCUCAACCCAGAGACGCCACCCGAUACUGCUUAACUUGAGUUCGAUAGGGGAGUGGGGAAUUCCUAGUGUAGCGGUGAAGUGCGCAGAUAUUAGGAGGAACACCGGUGGCGAAGGCGCCACUCUGGAUCGAUACUGACGCUGAGGAACGAAAGCAUGGGUAGCAAACAGGAUUAGAUACCCUGGUAGUCCAUGCCGUAAACGGUGGGCACUAGGUGUGGGAUUCUAUUAACGAAUUCCGCGCCGUCGCUAACGCAUUAAGUGCCCCGCCUGGGGAGUACGGUCGCAAGACAAAACUCAAAGGAAUUGACGGCUUGAGAGUUGCGAGCGACGACGAGGGAGAGG
rnacentral:rRNA from 1 species